AAAGUUUAAUUUUGUAUUUGUGCAGCUCACCGGAUAGGCAAAGGAAAUCUCCGUGAGAUUCGGAGUGCUGCCCCGCAACGGUAAUUCCGCCUUUGAAGCGCGGUGAGCCCGGACGAUUGCCUAUUAGGGAAGUAUUCUC
rnacentral:ncRNA from 23 species